GUGGAUGUGUUUAUGGUGUUUGUGUGUGUGUGUGGUGGGGGGGAGUGAGUGUGUACACCUGCUCAUGCCAUGUGCACAUAUGGAGGCAAGAAAAUUUGGGGAUGGGUUCUCUCCUUCCCUCAUGGAUGUUAGAGUAGACCCCAGGUCACCAGAUCUCUGCAGCCAGUGGUUUCAUCGGCUGACCCCACCUCCCAAACCCAUUCUGCUAUUUUAAAAGCAUGUGUUCCUGAACACUUAAAGCUCUGCGGGACCCCUUGUGCGAAAUUUCCUAACAUUGGGGAGUUUGCUGUUCUUCUCUGCAGGCUGUUCCGCUGUGGGGGCAGGAACCUAAGAAUUAAUGAAAGGAACUAAUGAAGGUGAGGGGUGCAGAGGCUCACUAAGGGAAACGCUGAAUCAGAGACCACAUGCCAAGCUUUCUCCUGAUUAGCAGAUAAAAAUCCUUUCUUUCCGCGUUUCUGCAUACUGAUUGAAUCUACUUUGCUUACGAAAUAGCUGAGCCUCCUUCAGGGUUCCUGCCUGGAUUCUCAUCCCAAGUGACAAAGAACACUCGACAUUCUGGCUUGGCCAUUCUUCAGCCUCUUCUCAGUGUAUUCUUUAUUUAUUUUUCUAAAUAUCAUUCCUGGAACUGCACAAAAGGACGCCUCCGUCAGACACACCAGCAUCUCUUGUUCCCACAGAGAGUAGAACACGUGUGCCCGUGUGAACGCCUGUCUUGGGAGGGCGCUGGCUCCAGGUUCAGCCUCUGCUCUGAGGUUGUGAAACUCCAGCCCACAACAGGAGAGUCACCUCUCCAAGCUCAACAGAACUGGUAACAAUAAACCGGAAGUGGCAACGGGUGGCGAGAUCAGAGCAGGAUCCGGAGCCUGGUUCCUCCCUCGCAGAGGAGGCCAGUGACAGGCGUUCCUGGUCUUAAUACUUCUCAAGUUAGAAGAAGCUGGGCUAGAAAGCUGAGGCCCCAGCACAAGACACUACCAGCUUUCCAGGUCAGCCAUUUACUCUAGGUCACUCUAGGGAACGAGAAGGAAUUCAGUUCAGACUGAUCCAUUGGGAUAUUUAUCAAAGCAUCUCCUCGAAUAUCCUGUUUGAAAGUGGAGUCCAGCCAAAGCUUUAGAUAACAAACCAAGAGUCCAUCUGUGUCCCGUGGCUGUGACCAGCAGGGUCCUUCAUUUAAUACUCAGCAACCAGGGGGCAGGUCCAAGGCAGCAGGU